GACGAACGCUGGCGGCGUGCCUAAUACAUGCAAGUCGAGCGGACUUUCAAGAAGCUUGCUUUUUGAAAGUUAGCGGCGGACGGGUGAGUAACACGUGGGCAACCUGCCUGUAAGACGGGGAUAACUCCGGGAAACCGGGGCUAAUACCGGAUAAAAUCUUUCUUCGCAUGAAGGAAGGUUGAAAGGCGGCGCAAGCUGCCGCUUGCAGCUGGGCCCGCGGCGCAUUAGCUAGUUGGUGAGGUAACGGCUCACCAAGGCGACGAUGCGUAGCCGACCUGGGAGGGUGAUCGGCCACACUGGGACUGAGACACGGCCCAGACUCCUACGGGAGGCAGCAGUAGGGAAUCUUCCGCAAUGGACGAAAGUCUGACGGAGCAACGCCGCGUGAGCGAAGAAGGUCUUCGGAUCGUAAAGCUCUGUUGUCAGGGAAGAACAAGUACCGUUCGAAUAGGGCGGUACCUUGACGGUACCUGACCAGAAAGCCACGGCUAACUACGUGCCAGCAGCCGCCGUAA
rnacentral:rRNA from 1 species